rnacentral:rRNA from 1 species
AGACCCGAAACCCGGUGAUCUAGCCAUGGGCAGGUUGAAGGUUGGGUAACACUAACUGGAGGACCGAACCGACUAAUGUUGAAAAAUUAGCGGAUGACCUGUGGCUGGGGGUGAAAGGCCAAUCAAACCGGGAGAUAGCUGGUUCUCCCCGAAAGCUAUUUAGGUAGCGCCUCGUGAAUUCAUCUCCGGGGGUAGAGCACUGUUUCGGCUAGGGGGCCAUCCCGGCUUACCAACCCGAUGCAAACUGCGAAUACCGGAGAAUGUUAUCACGGGAGACACACGGCGGGUGCUAACGUCCGUCGUGAAGAGGGAAACAACCCAGACCGCCAGCUAAGGUCCCAAAGUCAUGGUUAAGUGGGAAACGAUGUGGGAAGGCCCAGACAGCCAGGAUGUUGGCUUAGAAGCAGCCAUCAUUUAAAGAAAGCGUAAUAGCUCACUGGUCGAGUCGGCCUGCGCGGAAGAUGUAACGGGGCUAAACCAUGCACCGAAGCUGCGGCAGCGACGCUGAUGCGUUGUUGGGUAGGGGAGCGUUCUGUAAGCCUGCGAAGGUGACCUGUGAGGGUUGCUGGAGGUAUCAGAAGUGCGAAUGCUGACAUAAGUAACGAUAAAGCGGGUGAAAAGCCCGCUCGCCGGAAGACCAAGGGUUCCUGUCCAACGUUAAUCGGGGCAGGGUGAGUCGACCCCUAAGGCGAGGCCGAAAGGCGUAGUCGAUGGGAAACGGGUUAAUAUUCCCGUACUUGGUGUUACUGCGAAGGGGGGACGGAGAAGGCUAUGUUGGCCGGGCGACGGUUGUCCCGGUUUAAGCGUGUAGGUGUGUGUUCCAGGUAAAUCCGGUUCACUUUAACACUGAGGCGUGAUGACGAGGCACUACGGUGCUGAAGCAACAAAUGCCCUGCUUCCAGGAAAAGCCUCUAAGCAUCAGGUAACAUCAAAUCGUACCCCAAACCGACACAGGUGGUCAGGUAGAGAAUACCAAGGCGCUUGAGAGAACUCGGGUGAAGGAACUAGGCAAAAUGGUGCCGUAACUUCGGGAGAAGGCACGCUGACACGUAGGUGAAGUGAUUUACUCAUGGAGCUGAAGUCAGUCGAAGAUACCAGCUGGCUGCAACUGUUUAUUAAAAACACAGCACUGUGCAAACACGAAAGUGGACGUAUACGGUGUGACGCCUGCCCGGUGCCGGAAGGUUAAUUGAUGGGGUCAGCGCAAGCGAAGCUCCUGAUCGAAGCCCCGGUAAACGGCGGCCGUAACUAUAACGGUCCUAAGGUAGCGAAAUUCCUUGUCGGGUAAGUUCCGACCUGCACGAAUGGCGUAAUGAUGGCCAGGCUGUCUCCACCCGAGACUCAGUGAAAUUGAACUCGCUGUGAAGAUGCAGUGUACCCGCGGCAAGACGGAAAGACCCCGUGAACCUUUACUAUAGCUUGACACUGAACAUUGAGCCUUGAUGUGUAG